rnacentral:rRNA from 1 species
AAUCAACGCUGGCGGCGUGCCUAACACAUGCAAGUCGAGCGCGAAAGGGGAGCAAUCCCCAAGUAGAGCGGCGAACGGGUGAGUAACGCGUGGGUAAUCUGCCUCCGAGUGGGGAACAACAUCGGGAAACUGGUGCUAAUACCGCAUAACAUCGUCGGGUUUUCGGAUCUGACGAUCAAAGCCGGGGACCGCAAGGCCUGGCGCUUGGAGAGGAGCCCGCGUCCGAUUAGCAGUUGGUGGGGUAAUGGCCCACCAAGGCUUCGAUCGGUAGCCGGCCUGAGAGGGCGGACGGCCACACUGGGACUGAGACACGGCCCAGACUCCUACGGGAGGCAGCAGUGGGGAAUUUUUCGCAAUGGGCGAAAGCCUGACGAAGCAACGCCGCGUGGAGGAUGAAGGCCU